rnacentral:rRNA from 1 species
UAGGGAAUCUUCGGCAAUGGACGGAAGUCUGACCGAGCAACGCCGCGUGAGUGAAGAAGGUUUUCGGAUCGUAAAGCUCUGUUGUAAGAGAAGAACGAGUGUGAGAGUGGAAAGUUCACACUGUGACGGUAUCUUACCAGAAAGGGACGGCUAACUACGUGCCAGCAGCCGCGGUAAUACGUAGGUCCCGAGCGUUGUCCGGAUUUAUUGGGCGUAAAGCGAGCGCAGGCGGUUAGAUAAGUCUGAAGUUAAAGGCUGUGGCUUAACCAUNGGUAGGCUUUGGAAACUGUUUAACUUGAGUGCAAGAGGGGAGAGUGGAAUUCCAUGUGUAGCGGUGAAAUGCGUAGAUAUAUGGAGGAACACCGGUGGCGAAAGCGGCUCUCUGGCUUGUAACUGACGCUGAGGCUCGAAAGCGUGGGGAGCAAACAGGAUUAGAUACCCUGGUAGUCCACGCCGUAACGAUGAGUGCUAGGUGUUAGACCCUUUCCGGGGUUUAGUGCCGUAGCUAACGCAUUAAGCACUCCGCCUGGGGAGUACGACCGCAAGGUU